GAUGAACGCUGGCGGCGUGCCUAAUACAUGCAAGUCGAGCGAACAGACGAGGAGCUUGCUCCUCUGACGUUAGCGGCGGACGGGUGAGUAACACGUGGAUAACCUACCUAUAAUACUGGGAUAACUUCGGGAAACCGGAGCUAAUACCGGAUAAUAUAUUGAACCUCAUGGUUCAAUAGUGAAAGACGGUUUUGCUGUCACUUAUAGAUGGAUCCGCGCCGCAUUAGCUAGUUGGUAAGGUAACGGCUUACCAAGGCAACGAUGCGUAGCCGACCUGAGAGGGUGAUCGGCCACACUGGAACUGAGACACGGUCAAGACUCCUACGGGAGGCAGCAGUAGGGAAUCUUACGCAAUGGGCGAAAGCAUGACGGAGCAACGCCGCGUGAGUGAUGAAGGUCUUCGGAUCGUAAAACUCUGUUAUGAGGGAAGAACAAAUGUGUAAGUAACUAUGCACGUAUUGACGGUACCUAAUCAGAAAGCCACGGCUAACUACGUG
rnacentral:rRNA from 1 species